rnacentral:tRNA from 1 species
CGGGGCGUAGCUUAGCCCGGUAAAGCGCACGGUUUGGGACCGUGAGAGCGGAGGUUCGAGUCCUCUCGCCCCGACUA